AGUUCAGGUGUUGAGUCUUGAUUCUAUUUCAUGGCUAUAACGUAUCUAGAGACAAGCCAGGAUUGAGCCCUGUCAAAUCCCACUUGGGUAUGUGAUAUACUUGACCUGGGAAGGACAGAAGGUUUGACUGUGCAGAUCCCUCAUCCAGACCAGAGCAUCUGCACCAGGUGUGAUGACAGCAUCCUCUGCAAGUUGUAAAAGUUGCACAGUGAUGGUCCCGAGGGAGGAGGCUCCUGGCUCUGGUUCAGGGCUGAAGUGUCUUCAUUUGCUUGACCUUUGUCUUAUGGUUACAAAUGGCGACUAGAACUUCAGGCAAGAGCUACACAUUCUCGGCCUCAAGAAGGAGAUGGCAGGAAAAGGACAAAAAGGGUUUUGUCAUUGGUUUUAGCCAAUGACUUCUUUUUAUAUCCUAUCCAAAAAGCUACUAGAAACAAACAAGAUUGCCUACAGCAUCAGAUAGGAUGCAUCUGGGUCCAAACAACAGAAGACUCAGUUGAAAGAAAAUUUUAAAAAAUGAGGAAAAUUCGGGGCUGGCCCCGUGGCCGAGUGGUUAAGUUCCCGCGCUCCGCUGCAGGCGGCCCAGUGUUUCGUUAGUUGGAAUCCUGGGCGCGGACAUGGCUCGUCAGACCACGCUGAGGCAGCGUCCCACAUACCACAACUAGAAGAACCCGCAACGAAGAAUACACAACUAU
rnacentral:lncRNA from 1 species